GACGAACGCUGGCGGCGUGCUUAACACAUGCAAGUCGAACGGAAAGGUCCUGCUUUUGUGGGGUGCUCGAGUGGCGAACGGGUGAGUAGCACGUGAGUAACCUGCCCUUGACUUUGGGAUAACUUCAGGAAACUGGGGCUAAUACCGGAUAGGAGCUCCUGCUGCAUGGUGGGGGUUGGAAAGUUUCGGCGGUUGGGGAUGGACUCGCGGCUUAUCAGCUUGUUGGUGGGGUAGUGGCUUACCAAGGCUUUGACGGGUAGCCGGCCUGAGAGGGUGACCGGCCACAUUGGGACUGAGAUACGGCCCAGACUCCUACGGGAGGCAGCAGUGGGGAAUAUUGCACAAUGGGCGGAAGCCUGAUGCAGCAACGCCGCGUGCGGGAUGACGGCCUUCGGGUUGUAAACCGCUUUCGCCUGUGACGAAGCGUGAGUGACGGUAAUGGGUAAAGAAGCACCGGCUAACUACGUG
rnacentral:rRNA from 1 species